UUGCUAUGAUGAGUUAUAUAUUAUUAUUGAUAAUAAUGAAAAUAUAAUUUAUGAGCUUUUUAACACUGAGCAAU